UCAAGUACCUAGUCAUUUAUGCCUUCUCUAGUCAUGAUUUCUAUACUUGUCUGCUUACCAUCAAAACUGAGCAAGGGAGGAACAAGCAAUGUCUAAGGGCGCCAAACGUAUUUCCCCCUGCCUCCAGGACAUGAUAGUAGCUUUAUCUCUUUCUAAUGACCAACUGCCUCUGCCCAGUCUGGUAACUUCUUGCCUGCUGGUCCUUUGUCAUGUGAAGCUUAAGGUGCUAGAGAGAUAACCAGAGCUUAACGUUUAGUGAGAUUUUUGUCGUUUCCUCUGGUAGAAUUCCUGCUUUGGGAGUCAGGACUUCUCAACCCAUAGAGCCCCAAAGCAAAAAUUCUCCAAGUUCUUCCCUGGGAGGAUAUAAGUAACACUGUCUCUUAUUUCCGGCUUUCCAGGUGGCUCAGUGGUAAAGAAUCUGCCUGCCCAUUCAAGAGAUGAAGGAGACUCUGGUUCGAUCCCUGGGUUGGAAAGAUCCCCCUGGAGGAGGAAACGUAAACUCACUCCAGUAUUCUUGCCUGGAAAAUUCCAUGGACAAAGGAGCCUGGCGGGCUACAGUCCAUGGAGUCACAAAGAGUCAGACACGACUGAAGCGACUUAGCACGCAUGCAUCACUCUACUUCUGGGAACUGUUUAUACUCUGCCUACGCCCAGAUAUGGGUUCCUCACGGCCAGCCGUCCAACUCUCUGCAAUCAAUAAACACCAUAAAUGUAGGAUUCUUGUGAAAGUGAGAGAGCCUACACAAAAAAUUCCUCUUCAAAACACUGAUAUGAAAUACUGCCUGAGGAGCUUCCCAGGAUUUUCUUUCACCUUGAAAAACUGCACAUGGAGGAGAGCUCCUUUGCCUGAUUCCUGCAGUCUGAACAUAUCCUACUGGGUAGAGGUUUGGCCAAAUCUCCAGGAAGACAGUUUCUACACAGCAAAGUGA
rnacentral:lncRNA from 1 species